UAGGGGAGUUUUCCUCUCCUGUCUUACGCAUUGUGGUCCGAUGUCUCAGAGGAGGAUCCUAUUUAUUUCUUCUUAGGUUACAAAUCAGAGCACAAACAGGGCAGACACAACAGAAGCAAACAUGUUGUACUUGAUCGGAAUCGUUGUUGGUCUUCUGUUCGUCAUAUAUUGGUUUUCACAGGGACUUAAAGAGGGAAAUAAGUCACAAAAGUCCCAGCUCCCAGAAUCCUCUGCAAACAACAAGAUGAAUGAUCUUAGCGAAGACGACUUGCAUUUAUUGGCAAAGAUCCUUUCGGUUGGAUUGGUGGAUGCGGAUCCGAACUACCUCCAUCACCUAAAAGGCUACAGGGACUUGCGUGGUCCCUGAUCUCCUUUGGAAAAAAGAAAGAAAAAGAAACAAGGAGCUCAUCUGGAGCGACGGGUGGAUACAAAAACAGACUUUCCUGGAGAUCUUGAAGGAUUUGUGAUGUCAUCAAAUCAAUGCUGAUUUGGAUUACAAGUUAUUCUCACAUCACCCUGCAGAUGUUUCAUGAUCACAGGAUAAAACAUGCAAUAUGUUCAGUUUAAACGUGACACUGGCAUUGAAUAACUCAGAGGUGCACACAACUGCGUUAUGUUAAACAUGGAUCCUAACUGCUUUACUGUUGCCUUUGUAACCCUCGGCUGUGCUGCUUGUUGCAAGUAAUCUGGCUCAAUGCUGCUAUUUAACAUUUAGCUAAAAUGCUAAAUUGGUGUUACAAGGAGCGCAAGUGGAGAAGAAUACAGUCUUUAUCGCAAUCAUUACCCAGUCAUCAAAUCAGAACAAUGUGUAACGCAUUAGGCAAGGGUGUGUUUUGUCCUGUGGUUCAAACUGUUUUUCGUAAGAGAAAGAAUGGAUUGUUUGCAUAGUCUCACUUCAAAGAGAACCAUGUGACCAUUUCAGUUUGGGAAAAGAUUCAAUUAAUUUGUUUCUCUUGUCUUUUUGUUCACGUCCUUGUCUGGAAAGAGGAGACAAAAGAGAGAGUUAAACAAAGAGACAGAUUAGAUUCUCGUGUUGUUGUUGUUAUUUUUUAAACAUUUUUAUUUUUGCAUGAUAUGGCAAACUUAAAGCCUCUUACCCCAGACACGUCUGCUGAGCUCGUUCCCGAGCAGGUAGAGUGAGAUCACCACAGACAUGUUAAAAAAGAAGAAGCCCACCAGACCAGGAGCACUGAAGCGCCCCAGAAGAGGAUACACCCAAAUCCCGACUGACAUGUACACCCAUAUAAUCCUGCAGAAUAUGUUCAUAGUAUAAAAGAAAAAAAGAAGGGGAAAAAAAGGUUUGGCUCAUGCAAACAUUCACCCAGUGUGUUCACACAGUCAUUGUAACAGCAAAGCAGCAGCAAAAAUAAACAUCUCAUAUGCAAUGAA